UACGAAGGGGGCUAGCGUUGUUCGGAAUCACUGGGCUUAAAGGGCGCGUAGGCGGGCUGCCAAGUCCGGGGUGAAAUCUUUCGGCCCAACCGGAAAAGUGCCUUGGAUACUGGCGGCCUGGAGGGAGGCAGGGGCGGAUGGAACUUCCGGUGGAGCGGUGAAAUGCGUUGAUAUCAGGAGGAACACCCAUGGCGAAGGCAGGUUACUGGGCAUUAUCUGACGCUGAGGCGCGAAAGCGUGGGUAGCAAACAGG
rnacentral:rRNA from 1 species